UGGCUCCCAGUGCAGGGAGGGCUCGGCUCGGCGCUGCUGCGGAAUGGAAGACUGCCGCUCUCGCCUGCCCUUCUCUCUCUCGUCUCGGCUCAAAGUGGCAUGGUUUGAGAGUCUUACCUGGCUCUCUUCACCUAAACAGUCUUCAGGACCCUAAAGAAGCAGAGGGAAGGAUUAAGAAGAACGGCUGAGCAAUGGUGAAUAGAUUCAUCCCCAGGCACCCAAUCCAUUAUCCUGUCAACAACAGCAGGUCCCUGCCACAGUUAGCAGCAACACUGGCCGUAAUGAAAUCCUCAGUAAUCCCAAAACUCAUCUCAUCAUACCCAAGGUGCAAGUGCUUAUCUUUUCUCGGACUGUAUGAUACCAUGACAAAACAGUUAAACAACAGGCUGUGGACAUCAGUGGAAGACACAGGCUCUAUAGUCUUCAACAGCCUAGUACAUUUGCCUGCAGUGAUUUACAGGUCUUAUACCACCAUGAUGGCACAGUUACUGGUCCACCCCACUUUUAUAUUUAAAUACACUGAGCUCAACAAAACAGGGACACUGAGCCCCCCUCUUACCGGGAUCAUCUGUCUGCCUGGUGGACAAGCUGCGUCCUGCCCACUGCACCCAAUUCACAUAGAAAUGUACUCAAAUACGACAGAGAGUUUCAGGAGGAAGGAUUGCUGGAAGAGAUCAGCAGGACCCACUGAGUGGGCAGAGAAAAAUAGCCAGGCCAGUGAAGAUGGAUGGGUGACAGUCCCAUCGGUCCCAGCGAUUCAGCACUCAAUCACCACGGAGACAAGCAGUGAAACCGGGAAUGCUGAAAGCCCACAACCUGAGGGGGGGAAAAUUAUAAAAAAGAGAGUAGAUAAGUUUUAGAAGUGUAAAUCAAACUGUUGUCACUUUCCAUGAAUACAGUCCCAUUACUUUGGGGUCCUAUGUUUUUUUAAGUAUUACAGAUACAAAUCUCAUGUUUUGUGCUGUGAAAAAAUAUAUAUUUUAGAUAAUUUUUUAAACAUAUGUAAAGUAAUGGAGUUUAAAAACAUUAAAUAAAUGCCCGC
rnacentral:lncRNA from 1 species